rnacentral:rRNA from 2 species
UACAUGCAAGUCGAACGAACUCUGGUAUUGAUUGGUGCUUGCAUCAUGAUUUACAUUUGAGUGAGUGGCGAACUGGUGAGUAACACGUGGGAAACCUGCCCAGAAGCGGGGGAUAACACCUGGAAACAGAUGCUAAUACCGCAUAACAACUUGGACCGCAUGGUCCGAGUUUGAAAGAUGGCUUCGGCUAUCACUUUUGGAUGGUCCCGCGGCGUAUUAGCUAGAUGGUGGGGUAACGGCUCACCAUGGCAAUGAUACGUAGCCGACCUGAGAGGGUAAUCGGCCACAUUGGGACUGAGACACGGCCCAAACUCCUACGGGAGGCAGCAGUAGGGAAUCUUCCACAAUGGACGAAAGUCUGAUGGAGCAACGCCGCGUGAGUGAAGAAGGGUUUCGGCUCGUAAAACUCUGUUGUUAAAGAAGAACAUAUCUGAGAGUAACUGUUCAGGUAUUGACGGUAUUUAACCAGAAAGCCACGGCUAACUACGUGCCAGCAGCCGCGGUAAUACGUAGGUGGCAAGCGUUGUCCGGAUUUAUUGGGCGUAAAGCGAGCGCAGGCGGUUUUUUAAGUCUGAUGUGAAAGCCUUCGGCUCAACCGAAGAAGUGCAUCGGAAACUGGGAAACUUGAGUGCAGAAGAGGACAGUGGAACUCCAUGUGUAGCGGUGAAAUGCGUAGAUAUAUGGAAGAACACCAGUGGCGAAGGCGGCUGUCUGGUCUGUAACUGACGCUGAGGCUCGAAAGUAUGGGUAGCAAACAGGAUUAGAUACCCUGGUAGUCCAUACCGUAAACGAUGAAUGCUAAGUGUUGGAGGGUUUCCGCCCUUUCAGUGCUGCAGCUAACGCAUUAAGCAUUCCGCCUGGGGAGUACGGCCGCAAGGCUGAAACUCAAAGGAAUUGACGGGGGCCCGCACAAGCGGUGGAGCAUGUGGUUUAAUUCGAAGCUACGCGAAGAACCUUACCAGGUCUUGACAUACUAUGCAAAUCUAAGAGAUUAGACGUUCCCUUCGGGGACAUGGAUACAGGUGGUGCAUGGUUGUCGUCAGCUCGUGUCGUGAGAUGUUGGGUUAAGUCCCGCAACGAGCGCAACCCUUAUUAUCAGUUGCCAGCAUUAAGUUGGGCACUCUGGUGAGACUGCCGGUGACAAACCGGAGGAAGGUGGGGAUGACGUCAAAUCAUCAUGCCCCUUAUGACCUGGGCUACACACGUGCUACAAUGGAUGGUACAACGAGUUGCGAACUCGCGAGAGUAAGCUAAUCUCUUAAAGCCAUUCUCAGUUCGGAUUGUAGGCUGCAACUCGCCUACAUGAAGUCGGAAUCGCUAGUAAUCGCGGAUCAGCAUGCCGCGGUGAAUACGUUCCCGGGCCUUGUACACACCGCCCGUCACACCAUGAGAGUUUGUAACACCCAAAGUCGGUGGGGUAACCUUUUAGGAACCAGCCGCCUAAGGUGGGACAGAUGA